CACGUAGGGUGCGAGCGUUGUCCGGAAUUAUUGGGCGUAAAGGGCUCGUAGGCGGUUUGUCGCGUCGGGAGUGAAAACCUCGGGCUUAACUCGGGGCUUGCUUUCGAUACGGGCAGACUAGAGGUAUGCAGGGGAGAACGGAAUUCCUGGUGUAGCGGUGAAAUGCGCAGAUAUCAGGAGGAACACCGGUGGCGAAGGCGGUUCUCUGGGCAUGAUCUGACGCUGAGGAGCGAAAGUGUGGGGAGCGAACAGG
rnacentral:rRNA from 1 species